rnacentral:tRNA from 1 species
AUUCUUUUAGUAUUAACUAGUACAACUGACUUCCAAUCAGUUAGCUCUGGUAUAAGCCCAGAAAAGAAUA